AGAGAAAGAAUCAAAGUUGAGUAAUAAGCUGAUUAGUCUGACACAUCUAACACAACCCAUUUGACUACAGUUGACAACCGCAACCCUCCACCUCCCGCCGGCAGCUCACCGCCGCCGCCGCCAUCUUCUCAUCAAACCCCUUGCUCCUUCAAUACUCCCUAGGGGUCCACAAAAAAUACAACACCUAUGAUCUCCUCUUACUAGCUAGACACCCAGCUACUACUUUCAAAAUAUUAUGACUUGUCCAUUAAUUCUUUCUCCCUCUUGUGUUUACUUUUGAUGAUAACAGUACAGUACAUAGAAGCCUAUUGAGAAGCAACUUUUUGUCCUUAUUCCCAAUUUCUUGUCUGCUCAGAGUUUGUUGAACUGAAAAUUAUGGCUUCUUUUUCUUUAUUUGUUGAGACGAGAUUUAACAGCGAAACAGAACAUUAAACCUUACCUCCUUGGUCCCAUCUCAGUAUUCUUCUCACUUUAACUGAACAUUCAUAUGUAGACACGCACGCGACUCUCUUCC
rnacentral:lncRNA from 1 species